rnacentral:pre_miRNA from 1 species
UUACUACUCCCUCCGUCCGGAAAUACUCAUCGGAGAAAUGGAUGUAUCUAGAUGUAUUUUAAUUCUAGAUACAUUUAUUUUUAUGCAUUUCUUCGACAAGUAUUUCCGGACGAAGGGAGUACUUC